GACAUCCAGAGAACUUUCCAGAGAUGGAUUGGUGCCUUCGGGAACUCUGAGACAGGUGCUGCAUGGCUGUCGUCAGCUCGUGUUGUGAAAUGUUGGGUUAAGUCCCGCAACGAGCGCAACCCUUAUCCUUGUUUGCCAGCACGUAAUGGUGGGAACUCCAGGGAGACUGCCGGUGAUAAACCGGAGGAAGGUGGGGACGACGUCAAGUCAUCAUGGCCCUUACGAGUAGGGCUACACACGUGCUACAAUGGCGUAUACAGAGGGCUGCCAACCAGCGAUGGUGAGCGAAUCCCAGAAAGUACGUCGUAGUCCGGAUUGGAGUCUGCAACUCGACUCCAUGAAGUCGGAAUCGCUAGUAAUCGUGAAUCAGAAUGUCACGGUGAAUACGUUCCCGGGCCUUGUACACACCGCCCGUCACACCAUGGGAGUGGGCUGCACCAGAAGUAGAUAGCUUAACCUUCGGGAGGGCGUCUACCACGGUGUGGUUCAUGACUGGGGGAAGUCGUAACAAGGUAACCAAGGG
rnacentral:rRNA from 1 species